UACAGAGGGGGCAAGCGUUGUUCGGAAUUACUGGGCGUAAAGGGCGCGUAGGCGGCCGCCUAAGUCAGACGUGAAAUCCCCAGGCUCAACCUGGGAACUGCGUCUGAUACUGGUUGGCUUGAAUCCGGGAGAGGGAUGCAGAAUUCCAGGUGUAGCGGUGAAAUGCGUAGAUAUCUGGAGGAAUACCGGUGGCGAAGGCGGUUCUCUGGGACGGUACUGACGCUGAGACGCGAAAGCGUGGGGAGCGAACAGG
rnacentral:rRNA from 1 species